GUUGGGAUGAAGAUUCCGGCGGAGAAGGAAGAGGAGGUUCCGGUGAAGUUCGCUUCUCUUCUUCCGCCAUUGAAGAAGUUUCAAGAAAUUUUUUUCCCACAGAGAUUUUUAUUUUAUUAAAG